CCUUUGAGGUCUUUGGGAUGUCCACCUCCACCGUUGAAGAUCUUGGCUUGCUCUUUUGCAUCACCAUAGAGUAUAUAGUAGGCAUCCUUCUACUUGACAGCUGCAUCAACUGUUGCCCUGAACUUUUUUAAAGAAUCCACAGCAUUCCUAAACCAGCAUCCGCUGCAACCAAUGCACCUGACACGGUCUCCUCAGAGCCACGCC
rnacentral:lncRNA from 1 species